rnacentral:rRNA from 1 species
CUAGAUUGAUGGCGAGUGGCGAACGGGUGAGUAAUACAUCGGAACGUGCCCUGUAGUGGGGGAUAACUAGUCGAAAGAUUAGCUAAUACCGCAUACGACCUGAGGGUGAAAGUGGGGGACCGCAAGGCCUCAUGCUAUAGGAGCGGCCGAUGUCUGAUUAGCUAGUUGGUGGGGUAAAGGCCCACCAAGGCGACGAUCAGUAGCUGGUCUGAGAGGACGAUCAGCCACACUGGGACUGAGACACGGCCCAGACUCCUACGGGAGGCAGCAGUGGGGAAUUUUGGACAAUGGGCGAAAGCCUGAUCCAGCAAUGCCGCGUGUGUGAAGAAGGCCUUCGGGUUGUAAAGCACUUUUGUCCGGAAAGAAAUGGCUCUGGUUAAUACCUGGGGUCGAUGACGGUACCGGAAGAAUAAGGACCGGCUAACUACGUGCCAGCAGCCGCGGUAAUACGUAGGGUCCAAGCGUUAAUCGGAAUUACUGGGCGUAAAGCGUGCGCAGGCGGUUGUGCAAGACCGAUGUGAAAUCCCCGAGCUUAACUUGGGAAUUGCAU